GGCAGGCACCAGAGGCACAGAUCACCUCAACCCCAUCUCUGUCUCGGCUGACCUGAAGCUUGUUUUUCCUCUUGGGAAACUCAGCAGCAGGAUUUUUCCCUCAGAGAAACAUCACAUUUAAAGCAUACAUAGAAAAAGAGUACGAAGUUGCCAACCUAAAAGAACAACCAAGAGAGAGUGGUUCUCCAAAGAAGUGAAUGUUUGGGAAUAAACAGAGGAUUUCAAUCCAGGAUAUGCGCACUAUCGUAUGAGGACCCAAAGGCACAACCAGGCAGGCUGAGAAGGGGAACCUUUAACAGCGAAAAUGAGGAAGGCUACAUAGUUGUUUUGAAACAAUUAUCCUUGGCCACAAGGAAUAAUCACAAGGGUGGCAUCAGUCCAAGGAUGAAUAGGCAGUUGCUGGGCAGAUGUCCUUGCAGAGAGAUUCUUUGGGUAAGGUUGUGGUGGCCUUUGUGCAAAGUUGUGGUUUUCAGAGAGUUCUUGUAAUAGUUUUUAUCACAGGCAUGUGUGUGUGAGCACCCCUCCUUUAUGAUCUCCUGAUUGAAUUUUGUUAGGAUUUGGCAUACAUGACUCUAUUUUUCAUUCUGACAACUUUUACAGGUCAUUGCUUUUCAUCCAUUUUUACUAAGGGCUGGACUUGCUUAAAUUCCAGGAAAUUAUGAGGUCUUGAUUCGUAUAAUUAUCAGAAGUGCUCAUGUUGCUGACUCAGUUGCCUAUUUGGGAUGUUAUAAUUGUCUUUUUUCUCCUUCCUGUGCUGUAAUUUACACAAUCCUUAGGGGAGAUUAAUUUGAUACUUUUCAGCUGUGAAAAACUUGAAUAUGCCAAUCAAAGAAAGGUUCCCCUCACAUGCUAGGAAUUUAGUUUCUUUCCU
rnacentral:lncRNA from 1 species